rnacentral:rRNA from 1 species
UUUUAUUGAGAGUCUGAUCCUGGCUCAGGAUGAACGCUGGCGGCAUGCCUAAGCUAUGCAAGUCGAACGGGUCCGACGUCGUACAUCGCAAGAUGUAUCUCAUCGGACUAGUGGCAGACGGGUGAGUAACACGUAGGAACGUGCCUCAAAGUCAGGAAUAGCCCAGAGAAAUCUGGAUUAAUCCCGGAUAGUCCCAUUAAACCGAGAGGUUUUUUGGGUAAAGUGACUAGUUUACUAGUCAUGCUUUGAGAUCGGCCUGCGUCCUAUCAGCUAGUUGGUGAGGUAAUGGCUCACCAAGGCGAUGACGGGUAGGGGGCGUGAGAGCGCGACCCCCCACAAGGGCACUGAGAUACGGGCCCUACACCUACGGGUGGCAGCAAGUAGGAAUCAUGCGCAAUGGGGGAAACCCUGACGCUGCGAUGCCGCGUGUGGGAUGACGGUCAUAAUGACUGUAAACCACUGUGGAGUGGGAAGAUGAUGACGGUACCACUCUAGAAAGCAGUUGCUAACUACGUGCCAGAAGCCUCGGUCAUACGUAGGCUGCAAGCGUUGUCCGGAGUUAUUGGGCGUAAAGGGUUGGGUAGGUGGUUCGAUGCGUCGAAGGUUAAAUCUCACGGCUCAACCGUGAAUAUGCUUUCGAUACGGUCGAACUAGAACAUCGUAGGGGCUAGCAGAACAGUGCAAGUAGGGGUAAAAUCCGUUGAUAUGCACUGGAAUACCAAAGGCGUAGGCAGCUAGCUGGGCGAUUGUUGACACUGAACCACGAAAGCUAGGGGAGCGAAACGGAUUAGAUACCCGUGUAGUCCUAGCCGUAAACGAUGGACACUAGCUUGGUGUUCCACUCAGAUCUUCAUUAGUGGAGGUUUGUGUGGAUUGCCAGGCGUAAGCUAACGCGUUAAGUGUCCCGCCUGGGGAGUACGGUCGCAAGAUUAAAACUUAAGGGAAUUGGCGGGGGCUCGCACAAGCGGUGGAGCGCGUGGUUUAAUUGGAUGUUACGCCAAGAACCUUACCAGGCCUUGACAUGUUUUUCUUAAUGCUCUUUCAGAAACGUUAGAGAAUCUGUUUAAUCAGAGGGAAUUCACAGGUGUUGCACGGCUGUCGUCAGCUCGUCUCGUGAGAGGUAGGGUUAAGUCCUACAACGAGCGCAACCCGUACCGUGUGUUGUAUCACUCACGCGGAACUGCCCUCGUAAGGGGGAGGAAGGUGCGGACGACGUCAAGUCAGCGUUGCCCUUAUGGCCUGGGCGACACACACGCUACAAUGGCGCAGAUAGCAGGUUGCCACCUCGUAAGAGGGAGCUAAUCCCUAAACUGCGUCCCAGUUCGGAUUGAGGUCUGUAACUCGACCUCAUGAAGUUGGAAUCGCUAGUAACCGCGUAUCAGCCAUGGCGCGGUGAAUACGUUCUCGAGCCUUGCACACACCGCCCGUCACAUAAGCCGAGUUGGGAAUAGCCGAAGACUGCAUUUAUUGUGGUUUAAGCUAGGCUCAGCGAGGAGUGUGAAGUCGUAACAAGGUGUCCGUAGGGGAAUCUGCGGACGGAUCACCUCCUUUCU